AGUGAACGCUGGCGGUAGGCCUAACACAUGCAAGUCGAACGGCAGCACAGUAAGAGCUUGCUCUUACGGGUGGCGAGUGGCGGACGGGUGAGGAAUACAUCGGAAUCUACUUUUUCGUGGGGGAUAACGUAGGGAAACUUACGCUAAUACCGCAUACGACCUACGGGUGAAAGCAGGGGAUCUUCGGACCUUGCGCGAUUGAAUGAGCCGCUGUCGGAUUAGCUAGUUGGCGGGGUAAAGGCCCACCAAGGCGACGAUCCGUAGCUGGUCUGAGAGGAUGAUCGGCCACACUGGAGCUGGGACACGGUCCAGGCUCCUACGGGAGGCAGCAGUGGGGAAUAUUGGACAAUGGGCGCAAGCCUGAUCCAGCCAUACCGCGUGGGUGAAGAAGGCCUUCGGGUUGUAAAGCCGUUUUGUUGGGAAAGAAAAGCAGCAGGUUAAUACCCCGCUGUUCUGACGGUACCCAAAGAAUAAGCACCGGCUAACUUCGUG
rnacentral:rRNA from 1 species